CCCAGACUCCUACGGGAGGCAGCAGUGGGGAAUAUUGGGCAAUGGGCGCAAGCCUGACCCAGCAACGCCGCGUGAAGGAAGAAGGCUUUCGGGUUGUAAACUUCUUUUGACAGGGAAGAGUAGAAGACAGUACCUGUAGAAUAAGCUCCGGCUAACUACGUGCCAGCAGCCGCGGUAAUACGUAGGGAGCAAGCGUUAUCCGGAUUUAUUGGGUGUAAAGGGUGCGUAGACGGGAAAACAAGUUAGUUGUGAAAUCCCUCGGCUUAACUGAGGAACUGCAACUAAAACUAUUUUUCUUGAGUGUUGGAGAGGAAAGUGGAAUUCCUAGUGUAGCGGUGAAAUGCGUAGAUAUUAGGAGGAACACCAGUGGCGAAGGCGACUUUCUGGACAAUAACUGACGUUGAGGCACGAAAGUGUGGGGAGCAAACAGGAUUAGAUACCCUAGUA
rnacentral:rRNA from 1 species